rnacentral:rRNA from 1 species
UACGGAGGGUUCAAGCGUUAUCCGGAUUCACUGGGUUUAAAGGGAGCGCAGGCGGAUUUGUAAGUCAGUGGUGAAAGGCUUAAGCUUAACUUGGGAACUGCCAUUGAUACUAUAAGUCUUGAAUGUUGUUGAGGUUUGCGGAAUGGGUCAUGUAGCGGUGAAAUGCAUAGAUAUGACCCGGAACACCUAUUGCGAAGGCAGCAGGCUAAACAAAUAUUGACGCUGAGGCUCGAAAGCGUGGGGAUCAAACAGG